UACGUAGGGACCGAGCGUUGUCCGGAUUCAUUGGGCGUAAAGAGCUCGUAGGCGGCUGUUCAAGUCGAACGUGAAAACUCGGAGCUCAACUCCGAGCCUGCGUUCGAUACUGGACGGCUAGAGUCUGGUAGGGGGAUCUGGAAUUCCUGGUGUAGCGGUGGAAUGCGCAGAUAUCAGGAGGAACACCGAUGGCGAAGGCGGCUCUCUGGGACGGUACUGACGCUGAGACGCGAAAGCGUGGGGAGCGAACAGG
rnacentral:rRNA from 1 species